AGGUGGGUUUAUUAAACAGUCUUUACUGGUAAUGCUCUCUAACACUGCAAGAACUAUUUAACAAAACUCAGUUCCAUAAAAGACAGUGCUGUUUAUCAAACUGAGAUAUGAAAAUACAUAUGCUGCCUUCGCUGACCAGGGCAGACAAACCACCACUGGACUCUGUGGUCACCUCCUUGCUGUCAGUGCAAUGCAGCGGUCAGCAAUGGUUUGAUGCUGCUGCCUACCCGCUGGCCACAGACAAAAGGUACAUUGAGACUGCACACUGUGUCGGCGAGAGGGCUUACUGAGCCUUGACUCUAUUACAGAUUCUGUCUGCAACACAGGGAAAUGUCUCAGGCUGUUUCCAUGCCCGUAACAAGGUACAAAUCACUGCGCCUGAUUCUUUCUCAAGAGUUGAAGUGAAAUACAGCAGAACAGUACAUUGCACAUUUUCAGAUAAAAACAUUUUUGUCUGUUUCCCAACAACAAUGAACCAUCCUGCAUCAUUUAUUGCCUGCGAUUUCCUUUCCCUGUAGUAUUGUAAACCUUUCAGAAAACUAUACAUUCAUAAAAACUGGAAUGGAAAGUCAUUUAUCCUAAUCAACCUGCAGCAGCUGAAGGAAUCUUUUCAGUUUAUUCCAUUUUCAUAACUGUACUGUUUUCCCUUGACAUCAAUAAAUGGACAAAAAUAAACCUUUAGAUUCAAUUAUUGCACCUAUGCAAUUGAACAGUUUGCCAUGAAUAAUUGCUCCUUAGUUAAUUAAAAAUCCAGCAGCAUGAGUCACCUGAUGCAAAACCCAAACCAUAUUAAACCUUAGCUUGCUUUAUAAUUUUUAUAUAUAAUGUACAAAAAACAUAGACUGUGUAAAAUAAUAACAGCUAGAAUUAUUACAUCUAACAAGUGUCUUUUUAUGUGGAUUGCCUAAUGAAAACAAUUUAGGAACAGCUAGUAGUCUUUAUGUUAAAGCAGAACUCAGGCAUAUAAAGCUAAUUAAUUCCUCAUAUAACUCAAGUGACUUCAGCUGGAUCUGACAAGGUAUUUUUGCAUGGUAUUUUGAUGCUGAAGAACAUGUGAAAUCUUCACCAGAUCCAGGCAAACCAGCAAGUUUAUUCCAGACCACAGCCAUUCCCUGCUUGUACAUGUCAUUAUGGGUGCAGUCAUAAAAAAUCAUGCCUCAGAUUAUCCCAGUUGAUAGCUGCAAGCCUCCUACCUCCUUGCUGUUUUUGAUCUCUAACCUGAUUUAGCUUGUGGCAGUGACCUGAAACCUGAGUUGACAUUAGCUCUGCAGGAAGUUUUUAAUCCAAACAUGAUUCUGAGAUAGAUAUGCAUCACUGUACCCGUAAAUCUUUCCAUCCACCAUGGAAAGAUUCAGAAGGCUAACAUUUUGGCAAACCACAGAAGCUUGAUAUUUGCCCUCCUGAUAUAUUCGUGGCCUUUGCAAAGGAGUUACUGCGACAGCAGUUGCUAUCAGGCCAUGAUCUGAUCAUGAAGGAACUUUAAUCUUCCCGGUGCUAAUCAUUAUGACUUUCUACCUUUUUUUUUUUUUAAAAAAAAGGGCCACUGCUGACUGCGCAGAGGUGUUACAGGCAACUGCAAUACCUCCCAGUCAACAGCAGAGAGAGCUCACAGAAGAAGAAAGUUAAUCAGAGGGUGGUGGGUCCCCAUCACCCACUGUAGGGGUGUGGGGCAGGACACUUACUCCUCUGAAACAUCUCCUACUAACUGCUGUUAAGAGACAUGGUAUGAGACCAGCUAGUGUAGUGACUGAAUGAAAGUGGUAAGGCCAGCUGUGCAAGAGCCUUUAAGUACCUACCUCCUUUGGGGAAUUAACCCACAACUGCUAACUUGUGCUUCUAGUAGUGUGCAUGGAGAUUGAAGCAGGUGCCUCUGGGAGGUAUUCGCAACAGCUUUAUCCUCCCACUGGCAUCUCACUACAUGCCCCAGACAGGUACCACCCUGCACCAUCCAUCCAUUUUCUCCCACAGCCAUCGCUUGUGGGAGAAAAAAAAAAAAAAAAAAGUGUAAGUACUUCUCUUUAAAGAGGUGCCUACAAGGUGACUGACAUCCUGCUCCCAAUGCAACCUUAACUUGGCAUGGGGAAGGCCUGAUUUCACUUUCUUUUGCUAUUUGUGCUGCUCAAAUCCCUAUCUUUCAUCUUGCAGGAGAAUGUCAUAACCAUCAGGCAACAGGCUAUUCUGGGCUCAGGAAUGGAGGGCAUUCGGACGGUCUCUCAUGGAAGUUGUUCUUCACAGGGGUUACCGAAACACUCAUCAGCAGGGGAAGGAAGGGUGCAAAAGAGGGCACAACUCACAUCUAGCGCUUAGGGCACUCUCUGUUUUUUCAUUUAUUUGGUGAACUGCUGGGACAGCCAUAAACUUGCUUAUCAGAGCGCAGAGAUACAUACAUUUAUAGAACCCUGCAGGAUUAAGGUUUGAAACAGGAGCUUAACUGCUCCCCAUGGGGACUGCUACUGGAAAUACCCCGAAACAGAGCACUGGGUACGUGGAGAACCUGUACAUCAAAAAACCAAGGGGAACUACAGACAUUAGCUGCCUCCAAAACUGCUCCAGGACUGCAAUUUUUUGCAAUCUACUUUUCUCCUGCAACACAGAGUUCUUUCUUUAUUUUUUGCCGGCUCUAAUCUUUUUCACUGCAGAUUGACUUUGACCCAGGUGUUACUUUGUGCUACCCAGAAUGUGCAAUUUUUCACAUUCUGUGUACCCUAAUUCUCCCUGGGACAAGCCGAUCACCCUGUGGUUUGUCCUAAUUACCUGCACACCACGUGUGAGCUGGUGCCUUACCAGACGCCUACUUUGUAACAGCGUGGGACUGCAUUUUAAAAAGGGAUUUCUAAUUUGUCUUAUGACACCCCAAAUUAAUGGAUAUGCUUGAAAACCUAAUUACUGCAUGUAAAUUUUGUUCCAAGCUUAGCUGGCAUGCGAAGACAGAACGUGAUCCCUCUCUUAGCAUGCAAAUGACACAUCCUCAAGCCUACACUUGCUUCUGGGGUCGGUGCUUCACCCGAUGAGUGCCAGGAGAUGGACCAACACGAUUUUGUUGCAAGUCACUAGCUCUAGAUAGUGGGCCACAGUACAGUAGCGAUCUAACACCUGCACAAAAUUAGUAACAGCCCAGCUUUGCUGUGUAUCUCCGAUCUAGUCUUGCUAAACCCCUGAUUGUGUUUCGAGGGCCGGCAGCUGUGGCUGGCAGGCACGUACCGUCGACCAGUACCAUAGGAAUUGACGCUAAGCGGCCACCUGGGACUGCAGUCCCAGCCCAUGUCACGUUCAAGGGAUGUCAGAUUUAUCCCCCUUUGCUGCCAACCAUUGGUGUCCACCCAGACGUUCCCAAUUACAGGAACUGUCUACAAAGGCUGCAAGGGUGGGGGGUACGGGCGAUUCUCCUUGGCAAAGAAAAGCCAAGAAAAUCAAGUUUGUUUAGUGAAAGGCAUUGUCUUUUUCCUUAAUGGGGUUGGAGUUUCAUUUCCUUUAGUUAUGUCCCACUGGGUGAGGUUAAAAUGGCUCUUAAGGGAAAUAGUCUGACAGAGAUGCUGAAACAAUAUGUUGUCACCGCCCAGGUCAGAACCAGAGAAUAAUAGGUUAUUUUUACUGUAUCACUUAGUGGGGAUGGUAUCCGAGAUCUAAGUCCAUCUGAUUCCCCCAAGGAAAUAUAUUGUAAGAAAAUGCUCUUACAACCACAUAGUCCAAAAGAAGUGAUCCAAGUCUGGGGCGCAUGUCUGCCUCCCGGAGACACACGGCUGCCUCCAGGAGACACGUCUGCCUGUGAGAGUACCCUCUCCAGGUAAGCUUCGGAUGGCCCCAGGAAGCUCUGGCUUCAUCUGAUGAACUUAAUAUGGAUAAAUAAAAAGCAGCAGUCAAGCCUGCCCUUUGCAGCGUGCUACUAGGCUGAGUGCAGCUGAACAGCUACAGCCUGACCCAAAAGCAAGGGAAGAAAGGGUCCGGAUUGAGCCAGGCCCAGAAUCUGCUCUCAUUUACCCUGGUACAAACCCUAAUUAACUGAGGAUGAAGUUAUUGAUAGUCAAACUGAUGCUGGUAAAAUGUGGAAAAAUACAACAAGGGAGCCAGCGUGGCCUCAUUGCGUGUCUCAAGCAUCUGCUUGAGGUACAAGGGCUCCUCUCCUUCUGCAGAACCACGUGUCUGUCCUGUGUGCCUGGCACAUGAAUUUCCUCACGCAGAGCACCCCCUGUGACAACCCAAACUGUCCUGCUGCCCUCCAUGAUAUUCCCUGGUGGGGAGCUGAAAAUACCAAAAGAUUAGCCAUAAGCAGAGAGGUUUCACAGCUAACCCAGCUUGGGUCAUCUCCUGUGACACAACUAUCGUAUCUGUGCACGUACAGCCUGCACCUCAGAUAACCCAUACCCUUUAAAAAACACUGGCAUUGAAAUGUAAUCCUUCAUAACAUGCAAAAACUGAGGGGUAGGGGAAGGGGGAGGCGCUGGGCAGAGGCCUGAGAUGAUGAGAUGCAGAUGGGGGAAGGCCACCAGUGCGGACAGUUGUCCAGACUGACAUAACUCACAUUACUGCUGAACCGCUGACUUUUUUUUGAUAGACAACCCAUGGAUUACACAUCUGAAAAUACACUGUUCAAUUUCUGCUCUGGAAUUACAGUUAUGAUCCACUCCUGGCUUCUUAUAGCCAGAGACAGGAGACCAACGUAGGGUAACACCUUCCAGGAGGAGCCCCAGGGACAAAUUCAUCGCAGAUGUUACCUCACUCAAUGUUACCUCACUCAAUAAUCUUUAAAAAUCAAGUCUUAAAAAAGUGGUUUUCCAAACCCUGAUGGAUACACAGAAAUCAAAGUCUGCCUGUACACACAGAUAGACAUAUGUAAAUAUUUGUGCAUGCUAAAAUGCAUGUCCUGUCUUGUAUCUGAAGAUCAUAAACCACAGAAAAGGAGCUACUUCUUUUUUGGUCACUGCAUGUAAACUUUGACCAGGAAUUGGACACACUGAAUUUGUGACUAGAAUCGUAACUGAACAUUUGUUUUAUAGCUUCUUCUUCCAUUACAAAACUAAAAGCAAAGUACAUACUCAGAGUGUCUCUGGCCUUAAUGGGAAUUCUGCCUGAGGAAUGACUGCGCAUCUGUACUGCUGAUUUUCUGGACUAUUCUUGCACCAUGAUGUGCACCACCACUGCUUUUGCUUUCAAGGAUCCUUUUCUACUAAGUUCAGCCUGUGCGGAGGACUCUGUAUCUUGAGCUUCUCAGUGCUUUCUCCUUGGCUUUGUCACAAAGUCGCAAUGGCUUUUGAAGGACAUCUGUUUAUCACAUUGUAAUUAAUUUUUCCAACUCUGCUUAAGCUCACUACCUCUUUAAAAAUUAUCAUCUCUUUUAUUUUUCUGCCAUUUUUUUUCUUUCAUAUCUUGCAAAACAAAAUCAACCUCCCUUUAAAAUACAGAUUUUCUAGAUCUGUUGGUUGGUGCCUUUUUUUUUUUUUUCUUUUUUUUUCUUUGAGUUUCAUAUUCAUAUUCAUGACUAUUUCAAAAUCAGCUACACUAGUUGCUGGAUCAGAGGAAUUGCUUUUCGAAAAAGCAGCUUCAACUCUCACUGAAAACUAUGGAAAACCUGGUAUUGAUUUCAACAGUAGUAGGAUCAGGUCCCAAACAAAACUGCAUUUAUUGUAUUUGGCUCAUUUCCUAGGAUUACUUGGAACUUUGAAAGCUGUAAUUCUUUAUGUUGACAGCUUUCCCUCCCUCAAGGAGCAGUGCGGUUAAGCCAAUCAAUACAUGAUUAAAAUAAACAGCCCCUUGAUCAAACUUAUGGCUUUAGUGCAAGUCUUUCUGAUCUGCAGAAGAAAAACCCCUUAUGUUUGGCAGCCCUUGAGGCCACAUCAGUAUCCAAAGAGCACCUGACUUCCUUUUUUGUCCUUAACUCAUGUCCCAGUUCUUUCUGCUUCAUCGAACAAAAUAUCGAAGUCUUCUGAAAAAUAAUAUCCCUUCUUUUAUGGCAUAUACUAACUCUCUUCUUAACAAUGCCUGAACUCCCAUCUAACACAUUCUCUUUGUAUUUAAUGGACCCCUUUUUUUCCCUGGGUGUGUGUAUUUAUUUAAACAUCUAUCCAUUCGUCCUUUCUUCUUUCUCAGUUUUCUCUCCAACUUUUGCCAUCUCCCUUCUCACCAUUUUUUAGUGUUCUAAGAUUGACUGGAAAAUCUGCUGCUAAAAAUGUUCUCGGAGGAAAAUGUACUCCUUCAUAAAGCUACAGUCUAUUCUGAAAGGAAAGCCCAGGGCUUAAUGCAAUUUCUUUUUCAUCAGUUGUGGUCUGGACAAAAGGUAUCUUUUUUUCCCACAUACUUUUUUCUCUGUGGUGUUUCCACUCAGGUUCUUCAAAUGCCUCUGAUAGGUACCAUGUUACAGCUCAAAGCUGGUAUGAAAUCCUGAAUCUUUGCUCAGAUUUCAGCAGCAGAAAAUUUGCAGUCAUGUAAUACUCUAGAUGCUCAUUUUGUUAUACUUGUUCAUCUGAAAAAAUAAAACAGUUACAAUCAGCCCAGGAGAUGUGCCCAAUGGGAGGAAGUUAAAAACUCCCCUCCUGUUGUGUGGGGUGGAAAGGAGAAUGAUGAUCCACUGUAGUCACACCUCAGUGGGUUCCAGUGGGAACACGAUCCUGUUCCUAAACAGUAGGGCUGAGGUGAAGGUGACGCUUCCCAGCCUCAGAGUGAUGGAAAACAGAGCCCGAUUCUCCAGGGAGAGGUCCCAGGGCAGCCCUGUCCCCCACAGAGGUCAGCGAGGAAGAGAUAGGGAUGCAGCAAAGCAGAGGACUGGCACACUGCAUCACACUGGUCACAACUCCACCCUACUGAAAUUUUUCAGUGGACAUGGUGUCUCCUGUAUCCAAGUGAGAAACCAAGUGUCCUGCACCAGAAAGCUGCUGUCCUCCUGCUCUGCCCCACCCUUACAGACAAAAGCCCAAGGGCAACUCUUGCAAAAAGGACCACAGAGAAAGAGAGGAAGAAAGCAAGGGUUGGCAGAGGGAGAAAGAAUGAAUGGAAAGUGCUCAUCCCUGGUACACCGUACUGGCAAUUACGUGCGGGAGAACAUCCAGUUACCACUUGGUUUUGUUCACAUGAAGCCAACUGCUGACCUAAUUUAAUGCCUCCGGGUGCCAGCUAACAGCCUCCUGACUGUCAGUAGGCUGCAAUGGAGCACCAGCUCCCCGCUGCUUUCCCUGCGUACUCUCUCUGCUUUACCAGCUAUCCUGUUGUCAAAGUGAAAAAAACAUUAAUUCACUGCAUGAUACUACCUCUCGAAGCCUUCAUCUUUAAGAGAGGGCUCUUAACAAAAUGCAGGAGUGUAUUCAAGUGAUGGGGCAAAGUGAUGGAUUUCCAAGUGAGACGGGCAUUGUCAAAGGUGACUCAAUGAGCUGUGCACAUCCUCACCUUUUCAACCAGCUUGCAUCUUGCAGUUAUCCAACUUUUGACUAAAGGAACAAGCAUUUUUGUAUCUUAUUUUUGAUUCUAAAGGUCUGCUGCUCAGUGGACUGCAAUUCUCCAGUCUCGGUGUCAAUUAAACCAGUUCUACUGCCCCUAAUGAACCACAUCAGCAACUACGAAAAGACAUCUCACAUCCUGCUAUAAAAAAAGACAAAAAUCUUAAAGCUCACAAAACUUAUGAACUUGAAUAGUGAGUGUUGUGUGCUGCGCCUAUUGAAUUUUUUGCAUGUGGUUAAUAAUGUAUUGAUUCUGUGACACAUCUGCAAGGCACUUACAGCGCAUGUUAAUAUCUGGGAGCCUUCUCUGUGCUAUGAUAACAGAGCCGUGCCUCAGUGCAUGGUAGAGAAACAAUAAAGUAGCCAUUGAAUGAAGCAAAUGAGAAAUUAAUUGUAUGAAUUCAUUAUUUCAAAGUGUUUUUUUUUUUCUUUUUUCUUGGGAAUAAAUCAUUCCAGCCUCACCUGUUCUUUUUUCUUUUUUUUUCUUUUUAAUUACUAAAUUUAGUCCUAAAUUUACUGAGUUUACCAAUGCUAGUGUUCAGUGAGUUUUCUUAAGCAAUCUUCUGAAGAUUGCCGUGCUUUUUCAGUAUACUUUCUAAAUAGGAAGAAAACAGACAUAUAUACAGGAGUACAUGCUUUUGGAAAAACAAGCCAAGUUUUCCAAACCCGCUAAAGGCUUUGAUCUGCUUUGUAACCAGGCUGUUGCCAUAUCUGCCUAGGACACGUCAAUACAAAGACAGAGCUGCUUUUUUAUUGUUUCUGUCCAUUCAUCUCAAUUUAAACAAAAACCAAGGGCAGAACUCUAUCCCACCUGCAGCAGCUGUUAAAACAGCUCAUACAGCACCUUGUUCUCACAAAUCUAGAUGCCAGCACCAUCAGUGGGGGAGAAGAAACCUCCUUCUUCUUCUUUGCUCCUGUACCCCAUCUGCACAAUACCUGAUUUUUCAGCUUUUUUUCUAGAGUACAUUAAUGAAAGGAAGAGCUGUGUGCAACACAGUGCUGUGGGUGGAAAAUGGCGGACCGGCUUGUAGCAGGAACACAGCCAUUACACGCACGCGAUCCAUGGUGCUAGGCCCACCACAGGCCUGUAAAGCCUGAUGAGGUUACAAAGCCCUGAGGACAGAGCCACGAGCUCUAAAACUUUAUGAUAAGAGUGAGCUACUUUUGAUUUCGGUCUUGAUUUCUGUGCUGGCAGCAAUUAUCAGAAAAACAUGAGACAGUGACAAAAAAACAGCUGAAGACUUUGGCACAGGCUGAGGGGGAGCCGCGGUACUCAGGUGGCUGUGGUGCCCAACCUGAGCACCACCACACACAAGCAUCAGCUGUAAGAGAUUUCCUAAGCACGCCAAGGUUUAAUUCAUUGUUGUUGUUUUUCUUCCCUUCAAGGAAAAAAAAUGGAACAGAAACUUUAAGCACAUGAAGUUUCACACAGGAAAUGAAUCUGAAACUACUGAUACAGCAGACCAAACAAGAGAGCGGGGGAUUUCUGUGGAGGAUAUGCUAAAAGCAGAAGUGACAAAGCUGAUCAACGAGCUCACAGAGUGAACACAAAUUUGCAAAACAGGUCCGUGAACUGGUGACUUUCACAAAAAAAAAAAAAAAAAGCAAAGCUGUGUAGACAUUGUGGUGUUUAUUUGUUUUUGUGCAGCUGGUGUCAGGUGCUUGCUUGCAAGGCUCGAUGCUGGCAUUUUUUUUGUGGAAUCCCAGAACAGCCUUGGCAUGGUCUCCAGCCACAGCUCCGUCCCCUGAAGGCAGCCAGCAGCCCCCACACCAUGGCUGUGCUCAUGGAGGGUAUGUCAGGAGGGAGAUCACUAGCUCCUAUAGGCUUUUCAACCUCUCACUGGGCAUGAUUUCAUCAAAAAUCACAAAUUCUUGAUCGUUCCCCAUCUAUUUUGAAGGUCUCAGUUUGAAGUAAGACUUUUUGUAUUGAUCACUGAACCAAUAUGCUUGGAAACAUCACAUGAUCGGGCUGAAUUCCAAUCUGAGGUGUAUUUUCAGCUCUGCUUAGCCACAGAUGCCCUUUGACACCAGUACAGAGAGCUGCGAUCAUUUUUAUGUCAAGAGAUAUGAAAACCAGACAGCACCAGAACAAAUACUCCGCUUCUCUAAGGAAAAGAACGUAUAAACCACUUCUGCAUACCAUGGGCUGCAAAGUGCCGAGCCCACACCAAGCACAAACAACAUCCUGAUCCCACACACUACUUGGACAAAAGCCCCACUGAAUUCACACUGGCAUUGCUGCCCCUGCAAGGAAUUUCGUAAGAGCAAGGCUGACUCCAGUAUGAAAUGAGUAUCUGCAGUCCUACCUUCCUAGCAGUGCCACUCCCGCGGGCUACAGGUACUUGCUUUUCUGCUGGCUUUUGCAGGUAAGCAUCCCCAAAUAUACCAUGACAUUAUAUGAACAUCAUGAGCAGUUUUCUCUCUUAUCUUUUCAAACAAAUACCAGCUGAUGGCUUUCAUUGCAGGUUGCUUUUAUAGUCCUAACCUGACUACUGUAAACUUACCCUACUCCUGUUUACCAGUUCAGACACAGUUCAUAAAGCCGAACCAUCGAGGAUGAAUACUUUCUUAGUGCAAUUUCAUCUAUAAAUAGACAGGUGGAAAACUGUUUGCAGUUCCAGCAUAAAUGAUGGGUACGUGACGAACAGCUGAGAGAGCCAUAAAAACACUCCAUAUGUAAACUGAUGAUAGAAAGCAAGAGAACUUCCUUCAGUUUACCUGUCUAGAUUUUUGUAACCAGGUAAGAGCUAUGUGAAAUUCUGACAGUUUUGUAGAAGCAGAAACUCAGGUGAUUCACUCACAUGUAUCACUUUAUGUUCCUCAUGUGAGUAUCAUCCUGUCUAUUGAGUUGGCCUUGCAAUCUGUAGUUUGCGUACUGCAGGAAGAGUGGAAGUGAAAGAAUCCCGAACCCCACUGAGUAACUAACAGUAUCUUAUGCUACUAUAGUCCCUCUACAUGGCACAACACCUUUUUCACAUUUGAAAGAGCAACCCGCUACAUCAUUUAAAGGAGGAUCUGUACAGGGAGAGAGAAUUGAUGUAGUCACAAAAGAGGGAAGGCAGCAAUCACAAGAAAAAGUAUAUGAAAGCAAGUCUGUCCUGUUAAAUCUUGGCGUCCAAAUCCUGCCUUGCAUAACAAGGGACAAAAAAUGCUUUUGAUUGCUCAUAUUCAGUCUUUCUUCCAUCCACUAAGGUAACCCCAUUUGUCAGCUUUAUUUUUGACAGAGCCUGAUGGGAAAUAAGUUGUUUGCAUAAGCAACAUACUUCUUGCUGAUAAAGAUACAGAGAAAACCAAAUUAUCUGGUUAAGUUAUAUGGAAAGAGCAACCUUAUAAAACUAUUCCCAUAUUUCUUUUUCUUACCAACUGGCAGUCUCUUACAUUUUUUAGGUAGAAACUAGAUCAGUGUUGAAAAUUCCCUAGAACAGAUAUGAUGAAUCUCAGCAUGCUUUUGCUUUCUUUAAGCACUGUUAAAAUAACAUUAUUCUGACAAAAGGCAUUUUUUGCUUGUGUCUGGACCAACACAUGAGAAUUUGCUGUCCUGUAGAGCUCACAAACGUCCCCCUGCGCAUCCCCAGCUCUUUGGCAGACAGCUGCGGGGCUGGGAAGGCGUUCAGCUGAGAAGCAGAUGCUUUGUGCAGCAUUAAGUCCCUCACGUGGCUCCAGCCACACGAGGAGAGCGGCACGUAACGGCACAGUGAGGCCAGUUGGUGACUCGCUAAAUCCUAAAUACCCCAGAGCUCUCUUCAAGACUGCUUGAGGCUGCACUGCUAUAGAAAGGGAUUUGUAACGGAAAAGGAAAAAAGGUGAUCUCUACUUUUUAAAUAUCUAUCAUCCUGAUAUAAUUACGUAUGAAACUCUUCAACCGGUAACUUUAAUUGGCACCUAACGAAGAUUUAAGUGCAAUUCCUGAAGGUGGUGAUAAAAAUUACAACUAAAUGCAGAGAUACACAAAUUUCACCUACUACUCUCAUCUGAAGUUACCAUUUACAAUUUGAUUUUGAUCCUCCAUGAGUAAAACUUCUGUUGCUUCAUUGACCUUCAUGAGGUCACUCCUGUUCUAUGCUGAGAUGAGUGACAGUGGACUCCAACAGGGAGCGAGAAGUUAAUGAUACACACAUUGCCUUUGCUGAAUCAGAACAGGAACUGGGCAUUAAACAGAACCAUAAAAUAAUUUAGGUUGAGGGGACUUCUAUAGCACAGACUCUUGCUCAAAGCAGGGCCAACAUCAAAAUCAAACUGGUUUGCUGAUGGCCUUGUUUGGUCAAGCUUUGAAAUCUCCAAGAGUGGAGACUGUACAAUCUCUGAGCAACCCGUCCCAGUGCUUCACUCCUCUCAGGGUGAACUUUUUUUUUCUCCUUAUAACCAGUCUGAAUUACCCUAUCAGACAAAGAAAGAAGAUGAGGAUUUAAGGGGAGAAGAGGAUUAGCACAAAGUGAAAAGACAAUACUGAAUGGAAAGCUCAGUCUUAUUCUGAUACUGCAUAUAUACAAUACAAGUAGUUGGAAAGAAACAGAUGCAGAGGGUGUGUGCGGUGAGUGACAAGUGGGUAAGCUCCAGGUUAAGUACAAAAUAAGCAACAAACUCUGGUGUCAGCAUAUCAGACAACAUUCAUUUUAUUGUCAGAGUAAAAACAUAUUCCUUAAAGAAAACCAAACAAAAAACCCUAAUGAAUGUUACGAUGCAUGCCAAGCAAUUAUUGCUUUCCACAAUGUGUCCUGUGACUCACUGUGCCAUGGGAAUUGGCGUAUGGUGCUCAUUCAGGGUAUAUCACUCGCACAUUUGCAAUGGCUCUAAAGAGCUACUAGUUACUUGGACUAGUUAAUUUGGGGAUUUGGGGGGUGGGGAUGGGGGGUGAGGGUAAUUUCCCUAUGGCAAUGCAAUAAAAGUCAUGCUUAUUACUUAUUAUUAUUAUUUUCAAAGAAUAAAAUAAUGAUUUUAGCAGCAGGCCAAGUACCAUUAAUCCUGAAGUCUCUUGUAUUCUAGGGAAAUCAAUUCAGACAACCUCUGGCAUGCAAAAGCACAUAAAUAACUGGUAAAUACUACCUGUGGUCUUCUCGGUCCAGAUUUGCCUGAUGCCAAUAGCAAUCAAUUCCUUUUUGGCUGCAAAGGAUAGGAGGGCACUCAAUACCUUGCAGAAGGCACUCAGUACCUGGCAAAAAUCAAGCUUUCCAUGUGCCAGCACCCCAUGAAAGAGCAAACCCAGAAGUGCGCAUGACAGAAAUGGUUCUCUUCCCUAACACUGGAAGGCAACCUCCUAGAGGGUAGAGGGACACAAAGGUAGUUCUCUUUAAGGUGUUGAAUGCUCUCCCUGCCUGAGAAAGUUGUACUUCCUAUGCUUACUCCGCUUAAAAGCCAGCUCUAAGUCUCUUACUAAGGGAGGAAACAAAAGCAACAAAACAUCUGUCUUUCAGUGAGUCUGCCCAAAAGCAGGAGUAGACUGGAAAUCCAACAAUGUUUUUACCAUUAAUGAGCCAUCAGAGAUGCUUAAAAGCAGGGACUGACCAGCAGCAGAAGAAAACUGUGUGCAAUUACAAGAAAAUUCUUCUUCCCUUAUCAAGACCACUCAAAUGAGCCUGGGCUACAGCAUGACCUGUGAGUACCACCAAAAGAAUAUGGCUUCAGAGUGCUAAUGGACUUUUCCUUCACACUGAGACAAUUCAAUGGAGGAAACAAUCCUAUAUAGACAAGUUCUAUGUAACACUUGUAUACGUUUGAAAUAUGUCCACUAAGGCGGUGCUAUUCAUUAGCAAAAGUGGAGCAGUAAGACCAGCAGCAGACCACUGGGAUUUUGCCUACGCAGGGCCUUAGAUCUACAGCAGCACUGUCACAGGUUUCAAGGUCAGCAGGUCUGAUUCCUGAACUGGGGGGUCUGGCUCUGACCCUGUUUACACAAGGAUACAGCAAUAGCAAUGCCGCUGGACUCAACAAAGCUGCGCUGGAGUAAAUCAGUGGGGAAUUAGAUCCUGAAUUUGUAUGUCUUUGCAGCUAAUUUGACAGGCGGUAUUAAACAACAUUAACAUCUCAAAAUGUGACUUGGAAGGAGUAACAUAAACAAACAUCUCAACCUACAGCUCUCUUGCUCCCUGAUCCCCGAGGAGGCAAUUAUUCCCUCAGUGAUGUUCUGUACAGCCCAAAAUACAAUGAUUGCCAGUACAAAUAUUGUGUUCCUGCUUUUUUUGUUUUAUAAAAUGUAAUUUUGGAUCGUCUGGUCUGGGGUGUUUUCUUCAGUGCUUAACUCAAGAGGUUCCAAAUGGUGACUGGGGAAUAUAGUCAUGACCUUAGCGUGACCAGUGAUGGUGAACAAUGGCUUGCUCUGCCUAUUUCUUCACCUUGAACCUCCUGAACUGCUUAAUUGUGGGGAAGACGGUUGAAAUGGUGUCUGAGCAGUCUGCCAGCAUCUGAACUGUGCUCUUUUAUUGUUAUUCUGUAGAUCCCUUGCUACUGCUCAGAAAAUAUUCUCUAUCUCUUCAUAAAUAUCUUUUAUUAGCAUGUUUGUUUCCAUCUAGCUUACCUACCUUCCUCUAGGAAUGUACUUGAGGAAGUGCUAAAGUACAUAGAAAGUAUGUAGAGCUCAGACCAUUUUCCAAUCAAAAGUCUUAUUCAUCUAGGCAGAAAUGUCAAUGUCUUCAUUUCACCCAAGGAGAUAAAAACAGCAUUUAGGUAAUAACCACCUUCUCCUCGAUGCAAAUCCCCUCCCUCCAGAGAAGGAAAUGCUGCCUUUGGCCAGAUCCCAUACAGCAGUUCUUUUGUUGGUUAAUUCAUGACAGUGUUAGCAAGAUUUUCAUUAUAGGCUAUUAUUUGUAGCUGCUGUUUUCAUGAAGCAGCUGUAAUAAACAAGUGAGAUUUAUGUUCCUUUUUAAAUUGCUUGAAAUAAUUAGGGUUGUUAAAUUUAGACUCUGAAAGAACCUACUGAUUUCACUUUUUUUUUUUCAUAAAUACAGAAGCUACAAAGCGAUCUACCACUAUCAGUCAGGCUUGGGACAGAAUAGCGUGCACUCCAUAUACCAUCCAGAGCACAUCCAAAAUGUGUUUUAGAUGAGGAAAAGAUCUAAGUUUUCCCAACAUUUUAAAAGUAAAUGACAGUUGUGCAGAAUUGUUUUAACAACUACACUGUGUGUUAUUCUUCUCCAGCCUACAUUCAGAAAGGAUUUCGUUUAGAUCCUAUUCUGCUCUAUACAGGUGCAGAUAACCUCAAUCUGGAUCACUCUGGUAAGCUGAAUGGAAAGUAGGACCAGCACUGAGACCCUGGCGCAGACCAGAUUUUUGCAGCUGACCUCCCAGCUUGAUGAUUGAUACUGCACCCAACUGUUAUAAAAGCCCUGACCCAUUUUGGGCAUUCAAAUACCAAACUUAGAGCUUGUGGUUUCCUCUCAUCUCUGUAUCAUUUACUUUUUCCACCCAUCCUCCCUCAACUACAACUUGCUGUGUUGACAGCCCAGAAGUUUAUUUAAAAUAAAUGAACAAGAUGCCCUUCCCAACCCAAUCUGGGCAUUUCACAGCUACUUCUGCAUUUCAGAGCUUGAUCCAACCUCCUUCAUGUCAGCACUAAAAAAAUAUAUUCUAAAAACCUUUUCACUCUCAGGGCUGGUUUUUUUUUUGGUUGGUUAUUUGGUGGGUUUUGUGUUUUUUUUUGGUUGGUUGCUUUUGUCAUCAACCGUACAGUUUUUUUCUUUGUGCAGAUACCACCAUCUCAGCAGUCAAGGUUUCCUCAGUGCAGUGGGACAGACAAGAUGAAAAUACCAGGGUCCAGGACAGAAUUUAACUGUAAUGGUUCUACAAGGGGAACAGAUGUUCAGCUAACUACAGCCUUAGAGGAGGUGAGGAACAGAUUAUCUUAGAUGUGGGACAGACCACAUCGUACCAUGCAUAGAAGGAAUACAGCAACAAUAUACUAACUACGUAACAAGAAAAGGCAAAACAUGAAGAAAAGGAGAGAGCUAAACCUGUCAGUUUUAACAUUACAAUUAUAGAGGAAGGAAAACUAGGGGAAAGUAUGCAAACAGGAAUGAUGGAGCUGGGAAAGGGAUCUGGGGUAAUAUGCAGAAAACAGGUGUAAUAGGUAUCAAAAUACAAAAUUGUAAGUACUUCUUUGCUCUAUAUAUGACAAAACAGCAACAACUUCUCUGUAAAUGAUAAAAUUCCGGGGCAUUAAAAUCACGUAGGCAUACUAUCUUAAAUCAGUCCUACGUAAUACUGGUAAGUGGCAUGCAAUGGGAUGAGGAUUUAUUGCUAAGAAGUAUAAAGCCCUACAUGUCAGGAGAGCAGUGAUGUUGCCUGAGAACAGCUGGUUGCAAAGCUGUGAACCCAAGAAAGACCUAAAGGUGACUGCAGGUAAGACUAGCCACAUAAUUCAGUUUCUAUGUGUGAUGCUUCUGAGUGAUGCAGGAAAAGGGUCAAAAGCCAAGAUAUUUUUGGAUGUGUACAUGUGAAGGGGUGAUAUGGAAAUCUAAAGCAUAAUGCCAUGUCAAAACAACCAGUGUGAGCUGUUCGGGUCUCCAGAGAUUACUAAGAUAGAAAAAAUAAAGGAAAUACAAAUAAGGACAAUAAAAAUGAUCUAAGGAAAGAGUGAGAGAGAUAAAUUAAUAUAGUCUAUAAAUAAGAAAACUCCUGGGCUGAGAUCCAGCUAUAAAUACCUCUAAGUUGGUAUGUGUAGGGGCAGGUACUUAAUCUAGCUCAGAAGAUAGUAGGACAAGGAGUAAUUGCAUAAAUUUAGGGGUGGAAAAAUUCAGGAUGUAUAGCAAGAAAAAGUUAUUUGAAGAGACACAUCUGCUCAACUGUGCAGAUUCUGCAGGUGGUAGCCAAGGCACACUUACUGAAUACAUCCAAGAGCAGGCUGAAUAAGUGGCUCUGGGAAAUGAUGCAGUCACAGCCUUCUACAGUCCAAAGUGAUCACCACAGACAAACUUACUGAUCUGUUAGUCUCUUUCUUUAUGGGUUAUCUGAAAGACUGCUUAUCUAUUUAAAACAAAACAAAAACAAAACACCAACACCACAAAAUAAAACAAGAACAAAACCAAACCUAUAGAUCCAUGCAGUGACAAUAGACCUGCAAUAGAGCUCAGAGCUGGGGAUGGGCAGCACAGGUACCAGCAGACCUCCUUAACUCUCUCCUGGCUAUUCAGCUGUGUAUGCAGUGUCAUGCUGCUAGGCAGGACAGUGUCAGCAGGGCAAAAACUGCUGACCCAACUGGCAGAAUAUUCUGAGUAUCUCAACACCGAGGUCAAAGGCUGAACCCGGGAACUACCUCUUCUGAUACUCAUGGCCCUUCGGUAAGAGAUCCUGCACGGAAGUUGCUGCAUAAAUUACAUACUUUGCUUCAUGAUUAGCUGAAAACCAACACUAGCAGCAUAUAUCAAUUCUCAGGAGCUCUAAAAUACACUUGUAUUAAGAAAUUAAAAUAAAAAACAAACAAAAAAA